CAGCACCUCAAGUGGUCAGGAUGAUUAUUGGGCCUAAAGCAUCCGUAGCCGGCGCUGUAAGUUUUCGGUUAAAUCUGUACGCUCAACGUACAGGCUGCCGGGAAUACUGCAGCGCUAGGGAGUGGGAGAGGUAGACGGUACUCGGUAGGAAGGGGUAAAAUCCUUUGAUCUAUUGAUGACCACUUGUGGCGAAGGCGGUCUACCAGAACACGUCCGACGGUGAGGGAUGAAAGCUGGGGGAGCAAACCGGAUUAGAUACCCGAGUAGUCC
rnacentral:rRNA from 1 species